rnacentral:rRNA from 1 species
AGUGAACGCUGGCGGUAGGCCUAACACAUGCAAGUCGAACGGCAGCACAGUAAGAGCUUGCUCUUACGGGUGGCGAGUGGCGGACGGGUGAGGAAUACAUCGGAAUCUACUUUUUCGUGGGGGAUAACGUAGGGAAACUUACGCUAAUACCGCAUACGACCUACGGGUGAAAGCAGGGGAUCUUCGGACCUUGCGCGAUUGAAUGAGCCGAUGUCGGAUUAGCUAGUUUGCGGGGUAAAGGCCCACCAAGGCGAAGAUACGUAGCCGGUCUGAGAGGAUGAUUAGCCACAAUGGAACUGAGACACGGUCCCGACUCCUACGGGAGGCAGCAGUGGGGAAUUUUUGCCAAUGGGCGCAAGCCCGAUCCAGCCAUACCGCGUGGGUGAAGAAGGCCUUCCGGUUCUUAAGCCCUUGUGUUGGGAAAGAAAAGCAGCAGGUUAAUACCCCGCUGUUCUGGCGGUACCCAAAGAAUAAGCACCGGCUAACUUCCUG